CACGUGCAAGUCACGCGGACACGUCAAACAGUGAUGCCACGCAAUGGACGUCGACCAGCGCACGGGGGAGGAAUAACGUAUCCAACCUACCCAUUACUGUGUGAUAUCACGCCGAAAGGCAGACUAAAAUCGCAUAGUUUUAGAUGUCUGCAUCAGAUGUGAGGUAGAAGAUGUAUCGGUAAUGGAGGGAGGGUGCGUGCGGUCAAUCAGUUGGCGGGGGGGACGGAUGGCCCAAGGCAACGAUCAGUAGGGGUUCUGAGAGGAAGGUCCCCCACCACAGAAGGAAGGAGAUGUGCACCAGACUCCGGGAGGCGGCAGUGAGGGGGAAUGGUCCACAGGGGGGGACAGCAAGCAGCCAAGAAGCCGCCAGGAGGACGGCCGCCUGGGGGUUGAAAACCUUUUUUAUGCGGAGACAAUCAACCACGUAGGGUUGUGGUCAGGGUACAUGGGAAAGAAGCCCGGGUAAAUUACUUCCCGCCGCCCCCGUUAUACGGAAGGUCCGGGCGUUGUCCGGAAUUAUUGGGUUUAAAGGGAGCGUAGGCCGGAGGUUAAGUGUGUUGUGAAAAUCCUCCGCUCAACGUGGGGCGUGCGGUGCAUACGGGUUUCCUUGAGUGCGCUAGGGGAGGGCGGAAUUCGUGGUGUAGCGGUGGAAUGCUCAGAUAUCAGGAAGAACACCGAUGGCGAAGGCGGGUGUCGGGACCGCAACUGACGCUGAGGAUCGAAAGCGUGGGGAUCGAACAGG
rnacentral:rRNA from 1 species